UAGCGUAUAUUAAAGUUGUUGCAGUUAAAAAGCUCGUAGUUGAAUUUCGGGGUCAGUAGGUCGGUCGUGCCACUGGUAUGAACUGGUUUUACUGAUUCCUCCCUCUUGAAGAACUGUAAUGCCAUUAAUUUGGUGUUGCAGGGAAUCAGGACUGUUACUUUGAAAAAAUUAGAGUGUUUAAAGCAGG
rnacentral:rRNA from 1 species